UACGUUCCCGGGCCUUGUACACACCGCCCGUCACGCCAUGGGAGCUGGUAUCGCCCGAAGUGUUCGCAAGAAUCCUACGGCAAUGCCGGUGACUGGGGUG
rnacentral:rRNA from 1 species